rnacentral:hammerhead_ribozyme from 1 species
AUCCAUCUGACGAGUCCUAACUAGAAUGAACCACGCGUCCUGGAU